GGGUGACUCCUUUCCUUCUCUCCAGCGGCGCGGGGCUGAGCCUGCCGCCCGCGCAGAGGCUGAACUGGCAGCGCCAAACCCCCCGCAGGGGCCGCGGGCCAGACCCGCAGGACAGGGGCCGCCUCCUUCUGAGUUCAGCAAACCUACGAAGCCGCACUUGCCACCGCGAGAGGAUGCAGACACCCAGAGCCGUGAACCUGAUCCGCGCAGCCCGGCCGCACAGCACCCGGAACGGGGUCCGCGUGGUCAGCGUGUCCCGCUCUGCACCCAGCCCCAUGUCGGCACCGCCUGCUUCUGCUCUCACAACAACCUGGAAAGGGUGCCCUCCACACUUCAUCCCUGCCACGCUCUGCUCAGGAGAUCCACGUGAAGACUCACCCCUUGAGAGAACACCGGGCGCUGGGAGGCUCUCAGGUGCCCAGCAGCCUUUGCAGUGAAUUCAGUCGUACAGAAGAGCACAGCCAGUGUUGGCUUUGCACGAUGCCGGGCUCACGGCGCUUGCACAUAUACCCGCGGGCAGGUGCAUCGGAGAGCACGGACCACACAGAGCCCCGACGGCCCUACGGACGGAUGUGCCAAACCCUUCUCUGUCACUUUGCGGAUCUGUGGAUGCUUUCACGCCGGAAUGGGAUCACUGGCAAUUUUUGGUCCACCCUUUGCCCUUCUCUGUUUGUUUUUUC